rnacentral:misc_RNA from 1 species
CAACCAUCAAGCCCCAGGCUUGUGUUGGGGACCUGCGGCUGCCGCAGGCCCUGAAAACCAGUGGCGGGCUCGCUGUCACACCGGGCGUAGUAGAUUUUAUCUCGCUCUGGGCGUGCUGCGGGUUCCGGCCGUUAAAAAACCCUUUUAACCCAA